GCUAGAAGAACUAGUAAAGUAAAAGAAACCGAGUUCCAUAUACAUACACUGAAUCCCAGAGUACAAAACUACUCGCGCUGGCGAGUUAAAAGUCUGUAUGUACAUGAAACGAAACCAAAACAUCUACCUGCAGUAGGGGUGCCUCUAGCUCUGCUCCUCGGGUAGGGCUCUAACUCGCGACGCCCUUGCCUAGAUCCUGAUCAGCAACAGCAGCAACUGAAGACGAAGGCUCUGCAAAAACGGGGUAACAACUGGGCGUGAGAACUACUGUAGAAACAAGUAGUCCUCAGUGGAUGCCGCCCUCAACAAUCAUCGGUCCACCCACUAAGUCUACAAAAGGUAACAAGGCUAGCAGAAAAAGCUGGAAAGAAAUCUACAGCUACAUAUCACUACACUAGCAUGAUCUACACUAACCAACUGUAGUAAAAGUCACAACUGACUCAAUCUCACUAGGGACUGUGAACACAACCGUCCUGCCUGUCGAAUCGAACCCGUAACCUACUCCAGGAGUAGCUGGUAGAGAAAACUCUCUAGGGACUGUGAAUAUACCCAUCCCGUCUAAUUAGGUGACACCAUAGCUCAAGAGUAACCGGCGGAGAAGACUCUCUAGAGACUGUGAAUACACCCGUCUCGUCUACUAGACUACACCAUAUCUCAAGAGUAACCGGCGGAGAAAACUCUCUAAAGACUGUGAAUACACCCGUCUCGCCUAAUUAGACUACACCGUAUCUCAAGAGUAGUCGGUUCCAGAAAAGGUCCAACAGGACGGCUAAGACUCCACUCACGUCACAACCUCACUAAAGGUAGGGAAAAGCGUCACUCACUAUCUCACCCGGGCUGCCCAAAAAGGACCCAUCCUGCCUGUAUCUAGCUGCACCGUACACCACCCCGAGGGUAGCCGGCUCAAGAACUGUCCAACAGAAACUGCGACACUCAUCGCACUGAAACCUUAUUCUGGAAUGGCAUUCGUGGGCGCGACCCAACCGAGUUUACAAGUGUCUCUGUCAAGUUCGUACUGCUCUCAUAGGCUAAGGUCAAGUAACCAACUUUAACUGGUCUAACAACUAACAGAUCACGUGCCCUCGGCACAAUCCGUCGCCAAAAAGGCGAUACGGGUCCACC
rnacentral:lncRNA from 1 species